AACGUGCUAUUGUAAUUCUCUCUAUCACAAUGACAACAUGGUGGCCGGGCAUGGUGGUGCACACCUUUAAUCCCAGCACUCGGGAGGCAGAGGCAGGUGAAUCUCUGAGUUCGAGGCCAGCCUGGUCUAUAGAGUGAGUUCCAGGACAGCCAGGGCUAUACAGAGAAACCCUGUCUUGAAAAACCAAAAACCAAAAACCAAAACAAACAAACAAACAAACAAACAAAACAAAAAAAUUCCUUAGAACAAUUUUCCCAUCCACAAAGGUGACCCUGCAGUUCUCAUACCCCCUCCCCUGCCUCUGUGUAUCAGCCCUGGAUCACAGGCCUGGCAUCAACCCAAGCCAGUGAGUGUAUCACAGGAGUGUCUAAGCCCUCUGUGCUCUCUCUGGGCUCCCAGAGCCAGGCCAAAUGACUCCAGGGAGCCUAGAACUCAUAACAAGAGAAAAUUCACUUCCCCCACACCUGCCUUCUCCCCAAAUCAGCUCUAAUUUUGACAAACAUAGAAACUGCUUUAUAAAGUGUACUAGAAUAAAUGAAAUGGGCAAGUCUCCCCACGGAACCCCAAAGUCACUCGGUAUCAGACUCAGUUCAUUAGCUUCCCUCUCAGUCCUUAACAGGUCAGGUCCCCUCUAAAUCCCACCUCUCUGCUCCGCAAGGAGAGGAGGGGGGGAAGCUCUGCAAGCUGCUAUUUCACUCCCAGCCCCAGCCCCAGCAUGUGACUGCCCCGUGAGCUGGGAGCAGAGGCCUGUGCAGUUUCCAGGGCUGACACCUCCUCCCCUCAUGAGCCACACUAACCCCACAGCAGCUGGCCAGAGAAUUCCCCAAGGCUCUGCUACAGAAGCUGAGAAAUGGAAGCCCAAUUUCCACGUGGAUUCCCUAAGCAGGAAGCUGUGAACGUGUGAGUCGCCUUCCCUGGGCCAAGGUCUGUUUAUGUAGCCCCUUAUUUACUGGAGCAGUAAGUUGGGAAAUCAUGGGGAUUGCAUAAACUCCCUGCCACAGAAUCAGCGGCUGUGGAGCACACAGAGGGAUACCCACUAGAUUCCAUCUCUCUGCCAGGAACCAUGGGAGGCUCUUGCCUUCAGAUCUCCUUUCAUGUCCUUACCAGAUGCCAAAGCUGAUACUCAUCUGCAUUUCUCAACACAUGAGGAAAUGAACUCUGUGAGAGGAAUCUGCACAGAGAGACCAUGACCUGCGCUGCCAACACAGCUGAGAAGACUUCAUCCGAUUCCUGUCGCUCUAAGAAAGCCACAGGCUUACCCUUGUGUUUGGAGAUUGGGUAGGUACAUCAAGUACUUUAAUUAGUCUGUCUGGGAAAAUGAAACUGAUUGAAUUAAAUAUUAAUCACAUAUAAAUUGUGGAACUAAAUCAGCUGGGGGAGUCGCCAGGCGGGAAGGGCCAUGCUUAAAUGCAGAUUUUUUUUAGUCUGUACAAAAGACUUCACAGGCCUCUUCCUCCUGCUCUCCGUCUUCUGCCAAGUAAAUUGAUUUCGGAGCAAAAACAAGCCUUCUAUUUUCCAAGCACAACAACGACGCUUAACCAGAAGUUUCCUUCGCAGAAAUACUGAAUGGAAGAAUCCAGUUCCUGCGCAGUCCUUCUAAAUCUUUGCCUCUGAUUGGGCUCAUUAAUAAACAUGCUGAUUUUGUUACAAGGAGAGACAUAUGGUACAAUCCGCUAACAGGAAGAAGUAUUUUGCAUUUUAUUGUAGAAAACAAACAUGCAAACAGGCUCUCACAGAUGGUUUUCUUAGCUUCUAGGAGGGGAAAAAAAGCUUAAUAAUGCGUAAGUCUACUUUUUCUCAACAACAACAAUAACAACUUGUAGUUCUCUGGUUGGAAUUAGACUAAGUUCCAAAACAGGGCCUGAGACAUCUCAAAUUCAUUUUUUCUUAUUUAAGAGCAGACAGACAGGCAGGUAGGCAGGCAGGCAGGCAGACACACAUACACACUCACUCAUGGUGCUUGUCCAUAUUCUUGCCCCAAUCCCUUUCUUUUUUCUCUAUUCAGACAUACUUAGUACUUUCUAAGGGGGGCAGAGAUAACAGCACUCCACAACUGGAAAGAAGCUAAGUUCUUUUACAAAUAAAUUUUCUGGAUGAUUGAUGCUCACCUUUUAGGGUUAUGAAAACUAGUUUUGAUGAUGGGUUUUCUUUUUAUUAGAGGUAUAACAACUACUACGACUACUACUACUACUCUUUUGGAGUGUGUGUGUGUGUGUGUGUGUGUGUGUGUGUGUGUGUAUGUGUGUGUGUAUGUGUGUGUGUGUGUGUGUGUGUGUGUGUGUGUAUGUGUGUGUGUGUGUAGCACAUCAGAUGGAGGCCAGAGGAACACACUGGGUGUCCUGCUCUAUGGCAUUCUAUCUUAUUCCCCUGUAAACAGGCCCCUCUAGGACUGAGCUAGAGGACAGGAAGCCCCAGCCACCUCACUGUCUCCCCUACCGUACUGAGAAUGAGGACCUGCGUGGCCAUUGGCUUGGCUUUUUACCUGGGUGCCGGAGAUUAAACGUGCAUCUUUAUGCUUGCAUAGAGAUACUUUUAGCCACGGAGCCAUCUCUCCAGUACCUAAGUAGGAUUAUCUUUUAGCAGAGUGACAUAUGCUCUGAGAGAGUAAGAAGAUAACACUGUUCUCACACUCUUCAUACCCAGUGGCCCCUGCUGCCAGGAGCCAGCAGUAAUAGAUACGUUUGCUGUAAUCUGUCCCAAUGGGCCAACACUGCUACAGCGUUAUUAAUGUCCUUCACGUUUUAUGUUUGAAGCAGGCUCUUAGCCUGGAUGCUCUGUGGCAUGUCUUGGCAGCUUCUCUAACUUUCCUUGUUUCUGAUGCCCUCAUUCUUUUCCCCAUUCUUGUAGUAUGUAUGCGUGAUGUGUACAUUAUGAGACAGGAGAAUGCCUUGAAACUUAUGAGCCAGUUAGCCCACAGCAUCUGGCACCACCUGAGACUGCUCUCUGACCUCCACGCAUACACAUGUCUACAUUCACACACAGGAACACAUGCAUACGCAUGUCUAUAUUCACACACAGGAACACACAGCCCAUACACACAAAAAAGAAAAAUUUAAGCAAACAUAAAGACAAGCAAAAGAAUCUAACACACUAUCAUGUCGCCACUUCCAAAUUUCAUUUAUCAACUCAGGACACUCUUGUUUUAUCCCUACCUACACCCACGUCCAUUCUGUUAAGAACGGACUUGGCUACUAUGAUGAGAUGUAAUCAGAAGAAUGGCUAGGCUGAGAUAGAAAGAUCAGAGUUAGCGGAGAGGUUAGAAGCAGCCUUGCCAUCUACAGUGGGGCUGUCCCAUCAGAUAGAACAGGAUGUUCUGAAGGACUAAGCUGAUAAUGCACAAAAGGUGAGCAAGGUUAAUUCCUUGAUGCAGUGGGACAAGGACCCAAGAAGUAUCUCCUAGGAGCUCUUUCUGCCUUGGGGUAGUUGUCUCCCUUCACAACCCAGUAGGCUUCAGAAGCAAGGGAACUUACUUCCUCUGUGGAGAAGGAAUCAGAAGGCUGGGGGUGAGGGUGAGGGUGAGGGUGAGGGGUGGGCUUGGACCUAAAGGCAUGGGGAAGAGUGUGACCAGCAGCUGCUCACAUUGUAUUCGGUCAGGAAUCAGAGAAGGGGGGCAGGGAGGGAGGAGAGAAGGGAGAGGGGAGGGAGGGGGACAGAGAAAGACACAGAGACAGAAAGACAGAGGGAGGGUCUCCCCUCCUCAUUUAAAAUCCUCUGGAAACAGAAGAGCUGUGUCUUCUAAUCUAAGUCCAGUUGACCUGACAUGUUAAAGUGUCACUGUGCUCAGAGAGAAAAGCUGUUGUUAUUAUAAUUUUUUUAAAACAGUAAAAUUUUUUGGUGUGUAUCAUAUUCUCUGGAGCUGCAGGCAGUUGUAGCUACCUGUCAUGGGUGCUGGGAACCUAUCCUAGGUCUUCUUCGAGAAUGGCAUGUAGCCUUAACCUAUAAGCCAUCACUUCAGGCAUUUCCUCAGCACCUCCACCGACAAUUUUGGGGACAUGGUCUUACUUGUCCUUGGGCUGGCCUUCAUUUCAACUUUGUAGCCACCUUCUGAUCUUUCUGCUUUCAUCAGUGCUGGGACUUACAGGUGUAAACUGUCAUUCCAGGUUUGUGAGUGGCUGGGGAUGCACGUGGUUGACCACGGGGCUUGAUCUAGUCUAUACACUCAGCUACACCCCUACAUUUAGGACUUUAAACAACCAAUCCACGCUGUAGUCCUGUCAUCUUUUGUGACCUUGGGAGAGUAACCAGCUUCUGGACUUCCAAGUCCUCCACAUGGUAGGACUCUGCAAGCACUGACUAAGGUGGUCAGGGAGAAGGGAGAUAUCAGGGUAUUGUUUUCUUGAUGGCUAUGGCGGGUUACUGGGAAGCCCUCUUGGAUUUCCCAGCUCACCAUUCCUGGCCUAACUAUUUGGAAUCGACCAAGAUCUCCACCUGACUCCAUUGACUAAUGGAUUUGCCCACUUUCUCCUUGCAUUUUGGCACCAAACCUCCUUCAGGUAGCUAUUAAGUUUUAAACGUAAGACCCAGACACCAGAUCCUAAAGAAGAAUGACAUCCAUAAUUUGGGUUAAUUAAAAUGCCUCCGAAUGAACAGGUGACAGAUGUCAAGCCUCCUGGCACAGGAAGGAAGGCACCUCCACAGACUAUUAGGAUUCCUGUGUUAAUCAGGUAAUAGUAACUUGGGUAAUUAGCAAAUCACACCAAAUCUUGUUUAAGUCCCAAAUCUCAUUUGGAGCCUUUUGGAGAAACCGUUUAAAUACAAAGGACACAGUCUCCUAGUGAGAGAAGAUGGCUGCUUACUGGGGCAGACAUACCAGGCUUCCUGGCUCUAUUAAAUCCAUUUUAAUUACGAAGUCUCAGUGUCUAAUUCACCACAAUUAGAACUGGAGAGCGCUUUUUCCCUUUGUCUUUACUAAGACUCUGGGAACCUCAGACUCUGGAAUUCUGGUUGAGUGUGAAAAUUCAGCAAGUCCCAGGCCAGGAAUAUGGUGGUAGUCUUUGUCACCUGUCUUCAACAGUACCCUGAGGGCUUCAACAGUACCUUUCUGCCUUUGCUCGUUCCUAAAGAGACAGAUCGAUCUAUCUAUCUAUCUAUCUAUCUAUCUAUCUAUCUAUCUAUCUAUCUACAUAUGUACACCUCUCUCUCUCUCUCUCUCUCUGAUAAAUGUCCUGGAGCUCCCUAUGUAGAUCUGUAGAUCAGGCUGGCCUCAAACACACAGAAAUCACCCUGUCUCUGCUUCUCCAGUGUUAUGAUUAAGGCAUGUACCACCAUGCCCAGCUUAUUUCUUCUUUAUUUUUAAUAAUCUGUACGUGUAUCUGUCUGUAUGUGGUUAUGUGAGUGUGAGUGCAGCUUUCCCCAAAGACCAGAAGAAAGCACUGGAUGCACGGGAGCUGCAGUUAAAGGUUGUUGUGAGCUGCGUGAAGUGGGUGCUGAGAACUGACCUCCUGUUUCCUGCAUGAGCAACAAGCACUCUUGACCAAUGAGUCAUCUCUGUAGCCCUCCUGUGUUCGUUAUUAAAUCAUAAUUCACAAGAAUGAUUUUGACCACUAAUACCUCUCUAUAGAAGGAACCCUAAGAUUCCUGAGGCUGGAGGUGAUCACAAGCUAUAGCUGGGCUUUGCAUGGCUUGACACUAUAGAACUGUCAAGCGACCAUGUUCAUACUGAAACAUCUUUGGUGUUUAUUCUGGUUUCCUUUCCUCUUCAAGUGGAGUCUCCUUUCUUUCCUCCUCAAGCUAAUAUGCUUUUUGGUGUGGUGUAUGUGCACACUUCUGUGUUUGUAUAUACUUGCAUAUGGAUACAUCUAUGUAUGUGUGUGUGUGUGUGCAUGAAAAGUAAAAAAGACUGACCUCCAGUCUCCUGCAUGAACUCCAAACACACUUGACCACAGUCACCUUUUAAGUCUUUAAAAAGAAAGGUCAGUAUUUAUUGUGAUAUGCCACAUAUCCCAUGCUUGUGUCCAUGUGCCCAUGUGGUAAUCAGAGGACAACAUUCUGGAGUUGGUUCUCUCCUUCCAUGAUGUGUGUCCUGGAGAUUAAACCUGGGUCACGAGGUUGGGCAUCGAGUACCUUUACACUCUGAGCCACCUCUCCAGUCCUUUGUGCACUGUUAUUAUUAUUUUAUUUCUUUUGGUUAUGAGCCUAACCUUUAACUCUCACUGGCCUGGAACUUGUCAAGGAGGCCAGGCUGGCCAUCUAAUGAGCCUUAGAGAUUGCCUUGUCUCUGCCUCACCAGCACUGGGAUUCCAGAGCUACACCACUACAACAGGCCACAUUCAGAGCCUCGUUCAUUACAGAUCAGUUACCUCCCCAACCUUUGAGCUGCUAUUUGGAAGCAUUUUUUAUAGAGCUCUUCACAAUGUUCCUCUCUAUUUGGAGCUAAACAUUACUGAGUUCCCUUGCCGUCCCUGGGUUCAGAAUAGCUCAUCCUGGGCUUGUUUCAACAAGGUAAGUCUUAAAGCUGGAGGCUAUGGCAUGCUCCUUGCUCAUGCUUACUUAGAGAGGAUCAGGGAAAGCAUCCAAGGUUGGUGGAGUACUUCAGUGUGUCUACCUGUCAUACCUCUUGAAUGCUUCAACCUUAAUUUCUCUGCCUUUCUUUCUGUUUAUACUACAACAUCACCCAGUAGCUUUCUGGGAUGGUGGUGAGGGAGUUGAUGUCAUCUUUGAUAGAAGAAAGAGAAGACAAAAACAAAGAAAAACCAAAAAACCAAACAAAACUGAAACCAUACUGGGGCACAGAAGCCAGAUAACUUGGUCUGAGGAUUCAGCCUGAGUACCAUCUUGGUUUCUUUUCCUCUUGCUGUGAAAAAAUAGUCGAAGAAGAGCAACUUAAGGGGUAAGGUGUCUGCUUCUGUACAGUCCAUCAUGGUGGGGAAAUCAAAGCAGAGGGAGCUUGAAGCAGCUGGUCACACCAUAAAGCAAGGAGAGCUUGUUCAUGCUCCGGUCAACUUUGUCCACUCUACACAGUCCAGGGAUGGCUUCAAUCACAACGGAGGUGGGUCUGCCCACAUCACAGGUAUUCUCAAAGCCCAGCUCCACUGAGUCUAGAUUAUGUCAAAUCCACAGUCAACUCGCAUCAUCACAGCUACUUAGCACAGAUGGGACACCUCCAAGCUGGUCUCUGGGACUCUUUGAACUCCAUCUGUUAAAUUCAAGCAAGAGUCUCUCCCCUGUGAUUCACAGGGAUGGCAGGAGGAUGACUGUCGAGUAACAUUCUACAAGCCAUUUCCCCCAAAACUUCCAAAGGAGAUAGAAUUUAACAAAAAUGACCAUAGGCGUAGCCUGGAAACAGGGAAGCUACCAUCUCAGCUUCUGUGCCUGCUUGCCUUCUCACUCUACUACUGAUUACAGAGACAAGGCCACGCUCCUGAGACACCUAGCACAGUAUCUUCUCUAAAAGGACGGGCCACAGGGGCCUGGGGAGAUGCUGUGCAAGCGUGAGGAUCUGAGUUCAGAUAUGCAACACAGACAUAAAGUGUUAUUCAUGGUGACACAUGAUUGAAACCCACAACUGGGGAGACAGACAUAGGAGACCACUGGGUUUGCUGGCCAUCUAGGUGAGCUGAAUCAGCAAGCUCCACAUUCAGUGAGAGACCCUGUCUCAAAAACCUUAAGUGUAAGUGUAGAAGUGACUGAAGAAGACAUCAGACUCUGACCCUUGUCUCUCCGUGCACAUAUACACAUGUGCCUCUAUAUGAACACACACACACACACACACACACACACACCCCUACCUUGGCCAUAUGAGAACAGAAUGGUAGCAGGAAGAGAUAUAAGGAUUUGCAGUUUCAUAUAUUUGUGUUGUAAGUACAUUUCAAUCAACUGAACAGGUUCUGUUAUGUCAACAAAACCCAGGCUGGAGGGAUGGCUCAUUGGUUAAGAACACCAGUUGCUUUUCCAGAGGCCCCAGGUUAUAUCCCUAGCAUCUCCAUGGGCACUCACAACAUUAUAUAACUCCAGGUACCCUCUUGUGGUCUCUCUGGGCACCAGGCAUACAUGUGGUGCAAAUACAUCCAUGCAGGGAAUACAUCCAUACAUAAAAUGAAAUUACUUAAAACAAACAAAUACCAUCAAACAAAGCCAAAUAGUUUAUACAGGGUGAAUAAGAGCAAGACCUUUUUUGUCUGUAGUGCUGAAGAUGACCUUGAACUGCUUAUUUUCAACAUCUUAUAUGCUAGGACACCAUCAUGCCCAGUUUAUGUAGUGCUGGAGAUCAGUCCCAGGACCUUAAUCUACUUGCUGGGCAAUCACUGAGCCACAAGCACAGCACUACCAGUUAUGGGGCUGAUAAAGUUGGUCAAUGAUAGGGGCAGAGUACAUCAGCAUUCAGAGAACUCUAAGAGAGUCAGGAUAGAGAAAUGGGCUUGGGACAAAUGUGUUAAUUAGGUGAGUCAUAAAUGUUUGAUGUGCCUAGAGAGAGACAGUGAGGGUUUCUAACAGUAACUCAUACCCUGUGAGGUUCCAUUAAGAGUCAGAAACAUUUUUAGAUGACACCUUGCUACAAAUAUGAUUUUUGGGGUGGGGUAGGCUUCUCAUUUCAAACUUGGUACCUUCUCUUCCUGGAAUAUAACUUUCUAGUUAUUUGCUUGGUCCAUGGCUGCUCACUAAAAUCAGAUUUUCGAGAAAGUGUGUAUGUGUUGUACCUCUGCGCUGCCCCUACCUACAGUUUCAGAGUGCAGAGUGGGUUAUAUGUCUACAGCUCUAUGGUAGAAGAGGCUGGCUUACCUUGUUUCCCAUUGUGACCCUAGGCCUGCAAUGAUGUCUAGAACAUGGUGGUUAAACAUAAACACAGAGCCAAGGUGUCUUCAAAAACCAAAGGAAUGAGUCUCUUAUACUCAAAAGACUUUUAAUUAGAAAUGAAGCGUGUUCAGCAAUAUCAUUGUUGUAGAAUAACCCUAAGGGUUUGGAUGCAUGGCUCAGUGGUAGAACACUAGCUUAGAAUCUCUUAGUGAGGGAUUGGGGGUGUGGCUUAGUAGUAGAGCACCUGCCUAUAUCUUCUUACCCCACACUGAGGAGUAGGGAACAGAGCUCAGUCGUAGAACACCUGCCUAGAAUCCCCCAGUGAGGGGUUGGGGGCGUGGCUCAGUGGUAGAGCAUCUGCCUAGAAUCCCCCAGUGAGGGGCUGGGGGUGUGGCUCAGUGGUAGAGCCCCUGCCUAGAAUCCCCCAGUGAGGGCCUGGGGCGUGGCUCAUCAAAGCUUACUAUGCACAAAGCCCUGAGUCCCAUCCCCAGGACAUUGCUCAGCAGGAUCUGUAUAUACCUUCUAGGAGAGUAGCCACCCUUCCCAAAGACAGAAGGCAGUAACCAGAAGCACUUUUCUAAACUUUUUUUUUCCCUCAACUUUUUGGAACCUUUGGCAAAUUCAAAGCAACUUCUAUCUUGCUCCCUACCACAAAAUCAAAACAACCCCACCACCACCCAAGAUGAAGGACUGUGAGACAUUUUGUUUUCCAUCUUGCUAAUUUUCUCGGCUGCUGGAGGUGCAAAUCCAAAGCAGGACUCCAUCUCCUAGAGGCUGUGGUCCAAAUCAAACGAAGGAAAGUGGGUGGGGUUGGGGCAAGUCAAACAGAGACCCUCAGCACCACAGAAAACUAAUGUCUGGAGAACAGGCAGAGGGGGCUGGUGGGUGGCACGAGAGUCCAUGCCCUAUGUACACCUGCAUCAAGGAAGCCCUCUUAUUUGAGCUCUCACAACUCCAGGCAGACAGUACUGGUUUUGUUGGUAGCCCCCCUCUUUUGGUGGGGUGCUUUCUUCCUGCACAGCAGGCACUGCGGUGAGAGCUGACAAGCACUGGUAGAAUUUUAAAAAUUGCUACCACUCUCCCACAAGACGUCCAUUAUUUCUCCAGAGCCUUACGAUUCACAGCAUAAAAGCAUAAUCAAGAGAAAUCAUGGCUCGGCUCAGCCAGAGAUGGGCAGAAUAGUCCAUUUAACUUUAUGUUAAAAAAAGGUAAAAUAAUUGGACCAAAAUUUGUUUGAAAUGGGAGUAGGAAAUGGCGUGUUUUCAAUCUAUUUCCAACGGGAAGAAAAAAAAAAGCCCAUUAAACCCUCAUUGGAAACUAUUUAGUUUGGAAACAAGUUUAGUAUUCCAUAGAUGGUGAGUGUUGAAAGUUGUGGCAGAGCACAGCCUGUGUGAGGACUGCCCAAGUAUCUGAUGACUUAGUUCCAAAGGGUUCUGGAAAAAAAAAAAAAGUGUUGGCUGGGCUGGGGCAGUUCACAGCCUGGCUGCUGGCCUUACAGCAAAAUCUGUAAGAUCCAAAUGACUGGAGAAAAGGAAACCUUUCAAGUCGAUGGACAACCCCUAGGGACCUUUUGCUGGCAAACAGAAGCCUAGCUCCAAGAGCGAGGAGAAGCUGAAGGCAGUGGAGGGUGGAUCUAGGCUACCCGAGGAGAUGGAAAUGAAUCCUCGGGGCUAUGCCACCUUGGGCCUUAGCCUCACAAAUGACAGUACACUUGGGGUUGGGAAGAUGACUCCUUGUAAGUAGGAAGAGUGACGUCUGAACCCAGAACCUAUGCUUAUAAUCCCAGAGCUGGGGAGGUGAAGAGAAGAGGGUCCCUAGUUGAUGAGUUCCAGGCUAGUGAGAGAGCCAGUCUCCAAAACCAAGAUGGCAAGACAGCUUAGUGAAUAAAGGUGACUGCUGCCAAGUCUGAUGAUCUGAUGUGAUGGCUAUUCCUGGUUGUCAACUGGACUACAUCUGGAAUGAAUUGCAAUCCAGAAAUUGAGGGCACACCUGUGAUCCAGACCUGGAGGUUGGAAGACACAGGUUUCUGAGCUGGAUCUUGGCAUGGAGAUUUUUAGACAUAGUGGCCAUGAAAAGCUUAGGCCCAGGCAUGGUGGUAGUACACACCUUUAAUCCCAGGAGACUGAGGCAAGCAGAUUUCUGAGGUCAAGGUCAGCCUGGGACAAAGCAAGUUAGUUUUAGAUCUAGGCAUGGUGGCACACACCUUUAAUCUGGGCCACACCAUCUGUUGGAGGCCUAUUAAGGACAUUGGAAGAAGAAAGGCUCACUCUUCUUUGCCUGCUUGCACUUACUUGCCAGCACAUCUGUUGGAACCCAAUUUGACAGAAGACCAGCUGAAACAAGUACCCUCAUGGGACUGAGCAACUACUAGAUCCUUGCACUUUCCAUUCACAGCUGACCACUGUUGGGUUAGUUAGACUACAGACUCCUUACCAUAAUUUUCCUUAAUAUAUAGAGACAUUCCAUAAGUUCCGUGACUCAAGAGAACCCUGACUAGUACACUUGAGUUUGAUCCCAAGGAUCCAUAUGAUGGAAAGAGAGAACUGACUCCCCCACCUGCACACGCACAGAACAAAUAAAUAGAUGUAAUUAAGAAAACAAAACACAAAACCCAACAAAAUGAAUUGUACCUGAAUAAUGAUACUGGGAGCUGACUUCUGACCUUCAAAUGCACACAUACAUAUGUGCACUUUGAAAUACUAAAAACAUCCACAUUACCACAAACAACUGGCUCACAGGGCUAGAAUAAGACAUCCCAUGUCUGCACUUCUAGGGAACGUGUUCGCUGAGAACACCUUUGGAUGAAGGACCUUAGGAAGAGGCUGGCCUACUGUGCCCUUUCAUAUGCAUGCUGUGGCCACCUGCCAUGGGGUAUGUUCUGCCUUUUACAUCAAAGCUCUCUACUACAGAGAGGGCCACAGCACCACAAGAUGGUAACAGAAUUUGCUCAGCAGCAAAACCUAAGGAGCCAAGAACCUUUCUGCUGACCCUCUUAUGUUCAUCCAGAGUGAAUGGCUAUCCCUGACACAUCAUGGAUGCCCAAUCCAAGCUGAUUAAAGGAAUGAAUGAAUGGACAUGUCGAUGGAUGAUCUAGAAGGAACCAGAAAAAAAAACUCUCAAGGGAAGGGUCUUGUGUAAAAAGGGUGAACAACUCACUUUAAGCUGAGAACACAGAUUUUAAAAUGUGUGGCAUGCUGACAGUAUAAGAAUUUGAUGGUGUUUUGUGUGUGUGUGUGUGUGUGUGUGUGUGUGUGUGUGUGUGUGUGUGUGUGUAGAAGCCAGAGGACAACCUCAGGUGUUGUUUCCCAGCUGUCCACCUUACUAGGUUCUCUCACUGGUUUGGAAUCAGCUUGCUGUCCAAUGAGCCCCACAGAUCUUCCUGUAUCUACCUUCACAGUAUUGGAACUCCAAGCACCUGCCACCAUACUCAAUUUUUAAUGUGAAUCCCAGGGACAGAAGUGAGGUCCUUGUGCCCUUGUGCUCACAAGGCAAGUACUUGACCUAUUAAGCCACAUGCCCAGCCCUUAACCAGACACUUAAUCAGUAAACCUUUUAUGAAGCAGCAACCAUUAUGAAAAAUAUUCCGCCCUGAUGUGAAAUAUAUAUCCCAUUAUCACGUUAGGCUCCAAUUUCCCUGAUUUCUUUAGAAGAACAAAGUCCCUCCUGUCUGUUUCAUGUUCCCAGUCCGCUCGGCAGUCUUAGGUGACUGGAGCAUUUAUGAAAUAUUUACACCCUCCUCUUACUUUGCAUUGUGCUCCCUUUUGUCUAAUUCGCUGUCUGCAUUCACUUCCUUUCAUUUAACCUUAAUGGUCCUUGGGAAAGUGAUAAAAUGGCUCUCUGUGACUGUCACCGGAUUGCGCCUAGGUUUCCAGACUCAGCAGUGCCUCUCUGGUCAGGAUGAGGGAGAAGCGCUAACUUAGACCCAGUGCCUCCAUUUCUGCCAUAACCACAGGGCCCAGUUGGUGCUGGUCACUGCAGUCUUCCAUUGUGGUGACUCUUACAAGGUCUCAAUUCAAUUCUUCAGCAGUAUGCUUGAACUUUGAUAGACGGUCUCUAUGUAGCCCAACUCCACUCUGGGGAAGGAAAAGAGGCCGCUUUUCCUUCAUCUGCUUUAUACAUGUUAACAAUGUAUAGGGAUAAUACUGCCUGCCAUCAUUAAUGUGAUAGAAACACAAUUCUGAAAGAUUUAUGUAUUUUGACUGGUAGCAGCAUCUUCUCAACCUUUCCAUUGUUGUGAAGAGACACCGUGACCAAGGCAACUUACAAAAAGAAAGAAGUUAUUGGAUCUUGUUUCCAGUUUCAGAGUUGGAAGCAGGGCAGCAGGCAGGUAAGCCUGAUGCUAGCGCAGUACCUGAGAGCUUACAUGGUGAGAUAACAACCACGAGGCAUAGAGAGAGAACUGGCAAUGGCUUGGGCUUUUGAAACCUCAAAGCCCACUCCCAGUGACAACUUCCUCCAACCAGGCCACACACCUCCUAAUCUUUCACAAAUAGUUCCACCAAAUGGGGCCAAGCAUUCAAAUAUGUAAGUCUACGGGAGCCAUUCUCAUUUAAACCAUCAAGCAGUGACAAUAAAUACAAUGCUGGGCCGAGGAGCUAAACCAGGCUUAGUUAAAAUUAUUAGUUUUGUAUAUGUUUGAUCCCCAGCAUCUAUGUUAGAAAAGGAGGAAGGAAGGAAGGGAGGGAAGGAGGAAGGGAGGAAGGCAAGCAGGCAGGCAAGCCAGGCAUAGAGAAAUUCAAUGCUGGGAAGGUGGAGACAGGAAAUUCCCUGUGGGUGCUAGCCAUUCAGUCUAGUCUACUUGGUGAAUUAUACAUCAGGGAGAGACCCUUUCUGGAAAAUAAGAAGGCAAUUUCUGAGGAAUGACACCCAAGGUUGUCAUUUGGCCUCUACAUAUACACACACACACAAUCACACACACCUUUGAGGUAGUAUAGGAGGGCCAUCUUUACUCAAUGCAUGAACAGAUCUGGUUCUAGCAUGGAAGUGUGGCCUACGUGCACAGAAUUCACAGACCCAACAGUACCCUGAUACACUAUUUUCCCUGAGUCCAAUCCAACAUGUUAAAAAAAAAAUCUCAAAUACAAAAUAUUUCCUCAAAGCAUCCAUCCAACCCAAGCCAUGUACAUAUGGAUUCUCAUGCAAGAACAACAGGGUAUCACCACACCCAAAUCUCUGCCUGGGUAAUAAUGUAAAUUUGUUCAGUAACUAAUGGCCCAGCUGGAGCACGGAAACAGGGGAUUCAAGGGCUUCCUUUCAUCAGGCCAUCUCUUUGAGAGCUACAGAGUGUUCAUCCCAUAAGGCUGCCAGCCCCUGGCAUAGCGGAAAGUGCCUGCUUUAUUGAUUGCCAUUCACUGUUGUCCUACUGAAGGCGGCCAUUGUGUGGCUGGAACGGAAGGAACAAGAGUUCUAGUGAUGGCUUCCAUUACCUAAGGACAGCCAGUGCUGCUCUGCAGGGACAAGUGUGUUCUGCCUCCCAUGCUCAGUGGUUGCUGUCGGCUAGCCCAGUUCCAGGGCUUUGAAAAGUUUCACAACUAUCCUCUAUUAGAGCAAUAUAAAAUAUAACGUAUUUUGUCUGUCUCCUUUUCCUUCCAUUCUUCUAUAUUUCUUUCCUUACCUUCCUUCUUUCCUUUCCUUACUUCCCUCUUUACUCUUUUUUGUUGUUGUUGUUGUUGUUGUUUUGUGGUACUAAGGAUUGAACCUAAGUCCUUGUGUCCGGUGGAGGGGGAUGUUGCUAGCACUCCAUGUUUCUCUAUAAGACCUAGAUCAGCAGAUUCUAAUGAGCCUUGACCUCUUUUGAUUUUUUUUUUGCCCAGCAUCACCUUUGAGCUAGGAGGACUGGCCUUUACUCAAAGCAUGACCAGAUCUGGUUCCGGCACAGAAGUAUGGCAUGUGUGCAGAACAACUGAUCAACUGAUCAGUAGGGAAUUGUUCUGUGCAAGGAAGCACUCUAAGAAUAGGAUGCUAGGCUCCUGCAAAUGAAUCUACCCAAAGGAUGUAGAGCCAAGUUUCCCUGUGCAGCCGCUACCACCACAAAGUGGAGUUCAAAUUCAAAGCUGACACCUAGAAAAGGAGAAUGGUUCCUUUAUGGAUGUUAGGUAUUGUGACACUAACUCUGCAGUGUCCCCUGAACUGAAGGCUUCUGUGGUCCUGGAUGAGUAUUCUUUAUGCUUUCUCUGGUCACAACCAGCCACAGAUACAAGGUGGAAGAUGACAAGCCAGGCAGGACAAAGGGAAUCUUAUCUGCAAGUGUGUGCCAACACUGUGAAUGCAGACUCAGACUGCAUCCACUCUUUCCCUUCUGCAGAUCCCACUUCCCUAUUUUAUUCUAUGCAUCCCUGAUUUUAUAUCCUCCAGCCAACACACAACCUUUGCUUGCUGAAUGCUGUGGGAAUGAGGGAACAUCCUGAGGAACGAGAGAAGGGAGGGAUCCGUUGGCAAUAUUAUAUAGAUUUGAUGUACCCCUAAUGGCCACAUACAGUUUUUGUGAGGGCUGCAGGACACAAGAAUGUGGGAAUAUUUAUUUGUGAAUACUUUUCUUUCUUACUGAUCUCUUUACGUGUUUCUUGUGCAGACAGGUACUCAAGUACUACUUUGCUCUCAGCCAUUAUCUAUGCCCAUGCAUCCCAGGACAGGUAUGGAUGUAGACCAAUACACUUGAAGUCCCAUACAUUUGCAGAUGAGAAAUUGCUGUGUCAAGGUUGGACACUCCUGACACCUUCUUCUACUAGGGACUUCAUGAAGAUGGGAGGCAGUCUUAGGCAAAUGAACCAAUAUGCACUAUUAAAUCCUAGUCACCCAAGACAAGGUAGAGAAGCAUUAUGAAGAGAAGGAGGUCUCACUUUCCCCUGCUUGGCUUGAUUUUAUAUCCCUGGACUCACAUUCCUAUGAGUUUCUUCCUACUGGACUCUGAGCUGGGAUUCUGACUGACUAAUGGCAAGGCAACACAAGCAAAGGAUGUUGUUUUUGGAGCUCGGGUGGGGGUUGGAGGGGCUACCACACAAUGGGUUAACCUACAGAAGGGUGAGAGGUCCUGUUUUAGUUAGGGUUUCCAUUGAGUGAAGAAGAGACACUUGACGAAGGCAACUCUUAUAAAGGACAACAUUUAAUUGAAGCUGGCUUACGGGUUCAGAGGUUUAGUCCAGUAUCAUCAAGGCAGGAAACAUGGCAGCAUGCAGGCAAGACAUGCUGGAGGAGCUGAGAGUUCUACAUCAUGUUCCAAAGGUAAACAGAAGACCAGUUUCCAGGCAGCUAGGAGGAAGCUCUCUCAAAGGCUACCCCUAUAGUGACACACUUCCUCUAACAAAGCCACACCUACUCCAACAAGGCCACACUUCCUUUUAGUGCCACUCCCUGGGCUAAGCAUAUUCAAACCGCCACAGGCCCAUAUAUAGUUUCAGCACCCCAUUCCCUGGCCCUUCUAUCUGAUGUGAACCUGACAUCACCAGGACUUCCAUUUUGCAUAGACUUACAGGCUAUCUAAAUAGUUAUGAUACAUCACUAAUUUCUAGGAGCAUUCUGUCACCUGACAGACACUGAGCACGCCCUCUUUUUUUCCCUCUCAGCCACGGGAUUCCAGAUUGUGUGUAUGCCUACUUCUUUUUGUUUUGACCUUGAACUUCUGCUCCUCCUCGCUUCUAUCUCCCGAGGGCUAAGAUUAUAGUUGUCUGUCAUUACACAUGGUUUCUGUGGUGCUGGAGCCCCAAACCCAGGGCUUUGUGCAUAAUAGACAAGCUCUAGCCAUGGAGCUACAAGGUCAGUCCAAAGGCUACUGACUUCUAAGGACAGUGCCACCAAUCUUCCCCCUUGCAUUCUUCUCUCGGGACUCCCAACAAUAACACGAAUGACAGAAAAGAAGCCAGUGUUGAGGAUCAGUGUGUGUUGGGGACUGGGGUGGAGACAGCGUGGAGAAGAGGCCAUAGAGAAAGGAGGGGAUACACAAACACAGAAUUCAAGGCAGUGGCUGAUGCAGUGAGCACCACUAGACACAAAAACACUCUUUCUCUCCUGACACUCCUUCUGCCAGAAAAAGCAAUUAAUAGCAAUGACCACAAGCGAGUAGCCAAGCUAAUUUCCAGUCAGGCUUGUGGCAGGUGGGAAGAGGGAGCGCAGAAACCCACCCACUGCCUCCCUCGGCAGAGGCCCCCUCCGUUGUCAUCAUUGUAAGUAAUUCUACGCAGCCAGGGGAAUAAAGGCCUGAGCAUAAGGUUUCUAUCUGGGCUGCACAGAAGCUGAUUAAAAAUGCUAACUACCAUGAUUGUCCAACCACCAGACGCUCCCUGGAGACCCACGCUCACAGAUGGUGAUUAGUUUGGGAUGGCCAGAACAUUCACCGGGACCAUGUUGCUGCAACACCCACAGACUAUCUGUCACCCUCCCAGGAGGCCGUUCAAGGCUGUUUACCUCAUACAGUUAACUUGAACCAUAAGCUUCACCAGCCUCUUUGAUACAAUUUUAAUCACCCUCCUCGGAAAAACCCUGAUCUUUUCCCCACUAUCCUAUGCAUUUUUGCAAGGCAAAACUCCCCUUGGAAUUCUGCAGCUGGAGGAAGCCCCUUCCCAAAGCUGUCCUGCAUCGAAUGUGUGCUGCCUCCCAGCAGACACUAUCCAGGGUCCCCCUUUGAUUUACUCGUCUGUGUUAAUCCUCUCAGAAGUGGCAAUUCAUCAUGGCUACCAAUGGAGAUGGGUGGUAAGAGAUCAAUACCGGGGCCUUGUAACGAAUGUUUCCAACAGCGAAACUGGUAGCUACCGUUUAUCUUCUCCAGAAUGCA